CUACUUGCUCAGUCUGAAAUGGCAGGCUUCUGUGUCCUUGCCAGUCUCUGUGCUGACAGGAGCAAGGAAGGGCCUCUGUCCAGGGACACUAUGCUGUGCUGCAGACACUGUCUCAUUUAACCCUCAUGGAAGCCCAAGGGCUAGGAUUCUAACAGCAGGCCACAGCUGUCCCUGUCCUUGGGGCUUGCAGACAACUGGAUAGCUGAGUGUGUGGGUCCACGAGAUAGCUUGGAAAGUAAGGGUGUUUGCUGCUAAGCCCGAUGACCCAGAAUUCACAUUACAAGGAAAGAGAACCGAUCCGCAGGAGCCCGUGUCUGCAUGCAGGACUCUGAAAAUAUGAAGCUUUACCUGAGCAGGUAAGCUGGGUAACCCUGCAUGUUUUCUGUUUGUUUGUUUGUUUGCUUGCUUGCUUGCUUGCUUGCUUACUUGCUUGCUUGCUUGCUUGCUUGCUUGCUUGCAGAGCGUUCACAGGAUUUCCUCUUUGUCUCUCCAUACCCAAAAUACUAAAAGAGGGUUCAUGCCUCACUUAAUAAAUGCAGGCUGGGCAGACUUUAUACAGGACCUGCUUUUCUAACAGCAGCCACCAGGUGAGUGUGAGUGUUGCAUUAGGAAUAAAACAUAUUUGGUUGUGUGAC
ensembl:processed_transcript A430010J10Rik RIKEN cDNA A430010J10 gene